AACAACGCUGGCGGCGUGCUAAGCAUGCAAGUUGAGCGCGAAAGCCCUUCGGGGGCGAGUAGAGCGGCGGACGGGUGAGUAAUACAUGGAUAAUCUGCCCUCGAGAUCGGGAUAACCCUGCGAAAGUGGGGCUAAUACCGGAUAAGACCACACAACACAAGUUGUGUGGUAAAAGGUGGCUUGAAUUUAUUCUAGCUAUCACUUGAGGAUGAGUCCAUGGCCUAUCAGCUAGUUGGUGAGGUAAUGGCCCACCAAGGCUAUGACGGGUAGCUGGUCUGAGAGGACAACCAGCCACACUGGGACUGAGACACGGCCCAGACUCCUACGGGAGGCAGCAGUGGGGAAUAUUGGGCAAUGGGCGAAAGCCUGACCCAGCGACGCCGCGUGGGUGAUGAAGGCCUUCGGGUUGUAAAGCCCUUUCGUGCGGAAAGAAUUAUCCCGUAGUUAAUAUCUACGGGAUUUGACGGUACCGCAGGAAGAAGCACCGGCUAACUCCGUGCC
rnacentral:rRNA from 1 species